AUUGAACGCUGGCGGCAUGCCUUACACAUGCAAGUCGAACGGUAACAGGUCUUCGGAUGCUGACGAGUGGCGAACGGGUGAGUAAUACAUCGGAACGUGCCUAGUAGUGGGGGAUAACUACUCGAAAGAGUGGCUAAUACCGCAUGAGAUCUACGGAUGAAAGCAGGGGAUCGCAAGACCUUGUGCUACUAGAGCGGCCGAUGGCAGAUUAGGUGGUUGGUGGGAUAAAAGCUUACCAAGCCGACGAUCUGUAGCUGGUCUGAGAGGACGAUCAGCCACACUGGGACUGAGACACGGCCCAGACUCCUACGGGAGGCAGCAGUGGGGAAUUUUGGGCAAUGGGCGAAAGCCUGAUCAAGCAAUGCCGCGUGCAGGAUGAAGGCCUUCGGGUUGUAAACUGCUUUUGUACGGAACGAAAAGCCCUGGGUUAAUACCCUGGGGUCAUGACGGUACCGUAAGAAUAAGCACCGGCUAACUACGUGCCAGCAGCCGCCGUAA
rnacentral:rRNA from 1 species